rnacentral:rRNA from 1 species
ACGCUCGACACCUACGGGAGGCAGCAGUGGGGAAUAUUGCACAAUGGGGGAAACCCUGAUGCAGCGACGCCGCGUGAAGGAAGAAGUAUUUCGGUAUGUAAACUUCUAUCAGCAGGGAAGAAGAUGACGGUACCUGACUAAGAAGCCCCGGCUAACUACGUGCCUGCAGCCGCGGUAAUCUGAGCGGGCUGGCAAGGC